AACGAACGCUGGCGGCAUGCCUAACACAUGCAAGUCGAACGAGACCUUCGGGUCUAGUGGCGCACGGGUGCGUAACGCGUGGGAAUCUGCCCUUGGGUUCGGAAUAACAGUUAGAAAUGACUGCUAAUACCGGAUAAUGACGUAAGUCCAAAGAUUUAUCGCCAAAGGAUGAGCCCGCGUAGGAUUAGCUUGUUGGUGAGGUAAAGGCGCACCAAGGCGACGAUCCUUAGCUGGUCUGAGAGGAGGAUCAGCCACACUGGGACUGAGACACGGCCCAGACUCCUACGGGAGGCAGCAGUGGGGAAUAUUGGACAAUGGGCGAAAGCCUGAUCCAGCAAUGCCGCGUGAGUGAUGAAGGCCUUAGGGUUGUAAAGCUCUUUUACCCGGGAUGGUAAUGACAGUACCGGGAGAAUAAGCCCCGGCUAACUCCGUGCCAGCAGCCGCAGUAAUAC
rnacentral:rRNA from 1 species